GGAUUGGUGCGGAGACUUCGUUGGGUAGAAUAGUAGGCACUACUGGAAUUGUAUGCUGGGAUUUUGGGCGCCAAUCGUCGACCAUUGUGUACUAAAUUUCAUGGUAAUUGACGUUGAAAGUACGUUGAGUUGUGCGAUCUCUGGGAAGUUCCACGUGGGUUUGGUGGAACUUGGUGAAGUGAAUUGAAGGGACCGGUGAAGUGCAAGAGUUAUGAAAGCCGUCAUGGAUGCUUCUUGGUCUCUUCCUUUCUACAUCAAACACACAUGGACAAUUUUUAAUUAAAAUUACAGCUAUUGAGUUUGUCGCCCCAUCUAAUACUGUUAUAAUAUGUGCCCGUUCUAACAUGUAGGCAGUCGAGGUUACCAAAACUCCUCUGUGUAGCACUGGAUGUGGGUCACCAAAUGACCCAUCAGACUUCUGUACUGAGAGCAAGUAACUGACUGGGCGCCUGAUUUCUUCUUCUGGUACAACUCUAGCCUUCCUGCCCUGCACUCCAAAAGCCGCUGUCUGACGCUCCGCCACCAACGAUAGCACUUUCACUACAAGGGCAGUCACCCUGAGGACAAGAGAAAGCAGAUUUACAAUGUAAGAUAUUGUAAAUGAAGAACAUUGAUGUCAGACAUUACAAGUAACUGCAUAUGACCUUACAUCAAAACCCAAUUUGGGUGCAUAAAAAUACUUAACCAAUUACUUGAUGGCACUGAACCCCAUGAUCCAUAAGAUCCAUUGCCUUUCUUCUUGGUUAAAACAUGUAUAUAACCUGCCAAAGAAAGUGUUUACUUUGUUAAAAACAAAACUGUCUAUAGCCUUGUUAGCAACCUGUAGAGGGGGAAACACUCACAGUAGCCUAUUUACUUACUCUCCAUAUUUAAAACAUGUUAAAUCAGUUAUUCUAUAAUGUGUUUCAACUUUAAUAAAACAUUGAAUGGCGACCUCUAA